rnacentral:lncRNA from 1 species
ACAUUUAAAAUUGAUAUAUUUUAAUUACUAAUUUUCAAAUCUGAAACACUUUGAGGUAAAAAUAAGAUGUAGAAAUGCCCACACUAAAUCAGCCCAGCAUUUGCACUGGAAGGACUUUAGACAAGGUAACAGAAUCCAUGAACAUUUAUCAUCUCUGAUAAAAGUAACCCAGGGCAUCAGUUGCUCAAAAUUUACUUCCUCAUCUCAAAGAUGAAGUCUGACUAGGCAACAUCUAAAUUCUCCAGAGUCAAAGAUAGGAUCUGGGCUUUUACCCCCUUUUUCUGUAGGUACUAAAAGAAAAUUGUGCCAGAAAAUACAAAAGGAAUAGUCAGAAACGCUGGAAAAAAGGUUGAAACAUAUUAUUGUCACAAGGCCAAAAAGAACAACAGUAAAUAAGGGGGCUUUCAAUAGUGCCAAGUAAUAAUAAUAAUCAACACACUUUGUAGUAUUUUACAGUUUCCAAAUAUUUUUCGUACAUUAAAAUUUGUCACAGAUAUUCCCUGGUGGCCUAGAGUUUAAGGAAUAGGCAUUGUCACUGCUGUGGUUUGGGUUAUUGUUGUGGCAUGGGUUUGAUCCCUGGCCUGGAAGUUCUGCAUGGUGCAGUUGCAGCCAAAAUACAUACAUACAUAUAUAUAUAUAAAACCAAUGAAAACUCCAUGAUGGAAACAGAACUGAGAUUUAUUUUCAUCUUUUAUGAAUUAUAAAGUCAAGAUUAAGCAAGAUUAGGUCAAAGACACAAAAAUGUGUACAGGAAAAUCUAAAACAUAAAAUAUUUUUGCUCCACAGUCAAGUUACAAGCCUAGCUUCUGAUGUGGGUGGUCUACAAUCAAAUCUCAGGCCACUGGGUAUUUCCAGACCCUUUGACCACCCUGGGCUUCAAGAUGCUUAUAAACUUGAAUAAACUUAAAAAAGACUUGAGGUAAGCAUUUAAAAGCCAGAUAUAUAUGUGAAGCACUUAAAGACAACUGCCUGGCAUUCAAUAAUAUGUUAGUGGCCAUAUUACAUUCAAUAAAGUAACCAGUAGAUGGCAAAUACAGCCACAGCAUCACUGCCUCAGUUUACCUUCCCUUUACAGAGCUCUACAGGAGUUGAAUAGACCAAAGAAAUGAGUCCAGGGAAUCAAUGAGCAGCAGCCAUGCCGCCAAGUAAGGAACCAGGAUAACCAAGGUUUAAGGCCCCACUCUUUGCCACAAAUGAACCCUAAACCCUGGCCUAAACAGUCUCCUCUAAGGUUAGUCAAUCUAUGAGUCGAUAACCAGAAUCUUCUCAUUUACGAGGAAUUUACAUCAUUCUAAUAAGGGCUUUUGUUUCAAGACAGCCUGACAGAAAGCGGUAACAUGUGAAUUUAAUUCCAGUCUAAGAAAUUGUACAAGUGUUAGCAUGUAAGUUAAUUACUUUUAAUGCUGAAGACAGAAUUAACUCAUGUAGUAACAUCUGGUGGGCCUCUUUGGUUUCUCAAAUUAGGAUAAUUAGAACUGACAAAGUAUCUUCAUUCCAACUUCUCUUUCUCAUCAGCCCUUGGAUUAUUUGCCAGUUUUGGUUUUGUUUUGCUGCUGUUGUGACAGGGUUUUUGCUUUCAUUUUACUCAACAUCACUCAACUUACUUUAAAGUAUAGCAGCUCUAAUCAUUACCACACUACUAUUCAUAAUAUACAUUUAUAUUAUGCUGAAAAAGUCACAAUAUAAAAGAAGUUUAUGGAAUUUAAAUGGUCGGUACUCAUCAUUAUCAUCAUUAUGUAGUAUCUGUGAAACGAUACAAGUUGAAAGAUAACUUCCUAAAAGACAUGCACUCUAGUGUUUCAAGUUCUUGACAAACAGUAGGCACUCAGUAAGUCAUGUGGCAUAAAAGAAUGAACAAACCAAUCAGCUAGGUACAAUUUUAUGUUACUACAUGUUAGUUAGAACAUUGCCUUUGUUCUAGAAGGUUUUCGUUGCCACUUUAAUGAUAUUUUGUUACAUUUAUUCAAAUGUGUACUUAUCUCCCUUAGAUUGUGUGUCUUUCAUCCUAUUCAUCUUCAAAAAAUUUUAAAGGCUAGGAAAACUCUGAUCUCAUGCUUUAUUCUCAGUAUAGGAUUUCUCAUUCUAUAAUUUUGUAACACUUUUCUUGACCAAUCCUUUAUAACAGAUAUAAUAAGGGCUAGUAUUCACAAGAGUUGAGUACACACUCAAGAUCUUAACAAAUUCAGUUAAUCCUCUGUGCCUAAAUCUCUUCAUCUACAUGUCUAUAACCAUAUAUUUAUUUUCUGUGGUUCAGAGGGUUGUUCUGAAGACCCAGUUAUUUUUUAAUAAAAAGCUAAAUACACUGAUUAAAUUGGAAUUCACCCUAAUGUAUUUCAGGAUUUUAUUCUAUUUGUUUAGUUAAAAAUGACUAAGUAUUUCUAAUACUUUAAAAAAAUACUUAAGACAAAAUUUUUUCUUUACCAUAUUGGAAUAUUUAUGAAGCAAAAAUAUGAUACUGUGCUUGCAUAAAAUCAAAGUGAGAGAAUCCAUCUUUAAAAUCCUAUUUCUAACGUCAUUUGAAUUUCUGAGUACAAAUCUGCCAGGUGAGUAAGGCAAUUAAUGUUUAAACACAUAGUCUAAAUCAAUCAAUUAGGUCACAAUAUUUUUUAAAACCUUUCAGUUUGUCCGUUGUUGUCCAGAAGUGAGGUUAUAUUUUCAUUAGAAUAUUUAUGACCAAUUCUGAUACCGCCACAUGAAGAUUUUCAUGUUUUUAAAUACUAACCAGAGCCCUGCGGCAAAUAUUUGAGAAGAAGGCUUUAAUCAAACUGUAUUGUACCUAAAGCAUAUUUAUAUAACAAUGGUAAUAAUGAGGUAGGAGGCAGGUGGGCUCCAGGAUAGACAUAUGCAACUAGCCUCUUAUUUACACUUCUUGAGGCAGGAAGGGUAUCAGGCCAUAAUAAGUCUAGACAACCUUCCUGCAUGCCUUGCUUUGGAAUCAUCUUGACCAAAAAUUGCAGAUGCAUAUCGAGUUGGGGGGGGGGGUUCUGGUUAGGUGUGUGAAAAAUAAAAGGAGAUAACUGACCAAAGGAAGACAAAGACCCGGAAGAACUGUUCUAAGUCAUUUAAAUCACCUCCAUGGUGUGCUCCUCAUUUAAGGGGACACCCACACCCUCGCUCCUUUGGCUAUUACUGUCUGCUUCUGCCUCUUAUUUGAUAAAUAGACUAAGUCUCUAUAUUUCUGUGCUCUCCCACAUGUUGUACUGUGUUUCUAACAAUAAACUUUAUACUUUCUACCUAUUUUUACAGUUUUUACCAUUUUGAAACAUUGUUUUUAACAGGGAGCAAGAAUUAGGGCAGUUUUGCUUUUAGCCUCUAGCUAGUCUAGUGGGUAGAAUUCUUGGUUUUCAUCCAGGCUAUCUAGGUUCAAUUCCUGAGCAGAGAAUUAAUAUCUCGCUUCAAGCCAUCAUCCACUGCUGUCUCUCCAAAAUCAGUAGCAUCUCACAAACUCAGCAUCAAAUCACAUUUUGUGGGAUUAAGUUUGAAUACAAAUUGAAAGAUCUUCCUGUCUCCUAAUUUCUCUUAAAUAUUUGUUCCUUGUAUUUUUCUUAGAUAUGCUAAUACUGAAAAAUUCCAUAAGCAAUCAUUUAACCUGCAAUGCAUACUGAUUCUAAAAGAUCUAACAUAUAGCACACAUUAAAAAAUUAUAGAAAUGAAUAUAUUUAAAAGCUAAACCGAGAUGACAAUUUCCAUAAUAUAUUAAGUGUAUCAUUUUCCUUCAACAAUAGAGUCUACAAGGUAUAAAUGCACAAAGAACUACCAAUAGUAGCAUUUUGGUGAUAAUUUUAUUGAGAAUAUUUAAAGUUAGCAUUUACUCUGCCUUAGGCAACCCAACAACUGCAGAGGAUAACAAACAUCCUAAUUUCCAAAGCAUUAAUGAAGCAAUUAGCAAAGAGAUGAAUGCAAAUUACAAGCAGUUAUGGGGAAAUGGGAAAUUAAAAGAAGGAAAAUGCAAGCCAUUGUAUACAUGACUGUUUUCCCUACUAAGUACCUUUGAGAAUAACCUGGCUUGCCCAUUAAAGACUGAGUAUCUGUCAAAAUUGUUGUAUAUAAGGUACUUUCAUGCUUUAAACAUGUGUACCAGAUGGUAAAACUCACC